rnacentral:rRNA from 1 species
CAGCCGCCACGGGAACACGGAGGGUGCAAGCGUUAAUCGGAAUUACUGGGCGUAAAGCGCACGCAGGCGGUUUGUUAAGUCAGAUGUGAAAUCCCCGAGCUUAACUUGGGAACUGCAUUUGAAACUGGCAAGCUAGAGUCUUGUAGAGGGGGGUAGAAUUCCAGGUGUAGCGGUGAAAUGCGUAGAGAUCUGGAGGAAUACCGGUGGCGAAGGCGGCCCCCUGGACAAAGACUGACGCUCAGGUGCGAAAGCGUGGGGAGCAAACAGGAUUAGAUACCCCUGUAGUCCCUGUCUCUUAUAC